rnacentral:rRNA from 1 species
UACGGGGGGGGCAAGCGUUGUUCGGAAUUACUGGGCGUAAAGGGCUCGUAGGCGGCCAACUAAGUCGGAUGUGAAAUCCCCAGGCUCAACUUGGGAACUGCAUCCGAUACUGGAUGGCUUGAAUUCGGGAGAGGGAUGCAGAAUUCCAGGUGUAGCGGUGAAAUGCGUAGAUAUCUGGAGGAAUACCGGUGGCGAAGGCGGCAUCCUGGACCGGCAUUGACGCUGAUGAGCGAAAGCUAGGGGAGCAAACGGGG